rnacentral:rRNA from 1 species
UACGUAGGGUGCAAGCGUUAAUCGGAAUUACUGGGCGUAAAGCGCACGGAGGCGGCUUUGUAUGUCUGUCGUGAAAUCCCCGGGCUUAACCUGGGAAUGGCAUUGGUGACUGCACGGCUAGAGUGUGUCAGAGGGGGGUAGAAUUCCACGUGUAGCAGUGAAAUGCGUAGAGAUGUGGAGGAACACCGAUGGCGAAGGCAGCCCACUGGGUCAAGAUUGACGCUCAUGCACGAAAGCGUGGGGAGCAAACAGG